UAACUUGAGAGUUUGAUCCUGGCUCAGAACGAACGCUGGCGGCAUGCUUAACACAUGCAAGUCGAACGAGGGCCCGGGGCUUGCCCCGGUUACCCUAGUGGCGGACGGGUGAGUAACGCGUGGGAACCUGCCCUGGAGCGGGGAAUAAUCACUGGAAACGGUGGCUAAUACCGCAUACGCCCUCAGGGGGAAAGGCUUCGGCCACUCUAGGAUGGUCCCGCGUCCGAUUAGCUUGUU
rnacentral:rRNA from 1 species